AUUGAACGCUGGCGGCAUGCCUUACACAUGCAAGUCGAACGGCAGCACGGGAGCAAUCCUGGUGGCGAGUGGCGAACGGGUGAGUAAUACAUCGGAACGUGCCCAAUCGUGGGGGAUAACGCAGCGAAAGCUGUGCUAAUACCGCAUACGAUCUACGGAUGAAAGCAGGGGAUCGCAAGACCUUGCGCGAAUGGAGCGGCCGAUGGCAGAUUAGGUAGUUGGUGAGGUAAAGGCUCACCAAGCCGUCGAUCUGUAGCUGGUCUGAGAGGACGACCAGCCACACUGGGACUGAGACACGGCCCAGACUCCUACGGGAGGCAGCAGUGGGGAAUUUUGGACAAUGGGCGAAAGCCUGAUCCAGCCAUGCCGCGUGCAGGAUGAAGGCCUUCGGGUUGUAAACUGCUUUUGUACGGAACGAAACGGCCUUUUCUAAUAAAGAGGACUAAUGACGGUACCGUAAGAAUAAGCACCGGCUAACUACGUGCCAGCAGCCGCGGUAAUACGUAGGGUGCAAGCGUUAAUCGGAAUUACUGGGCGUAAAGCGUGCGCAGGCGGUUAUGUAAGUCUGAUGUGAAAAUGCAGGGCUCAACUCUGUAUUGCGUUGGAAACUGUAUAACUAGAGUACUGGAGAGGUAAGCGGAACUACAAGUGUAGAGGUGAAAUUCGUAGAUAUUUGUAGGAAUGCCGAUGGGGAAGCCAGCUUACUGGACAGAUACUGACGCUGAAGCGCGAAAGCGUGGGUAGCAAACAGG
rnacentral:rRNA from 1 species